ACCUCCCCUUCAAAAAACACAUCAAAUAUUCCAACAUUUUAAAACAAGAAAAGCAAAUACAAAAUACAAAAAUAGAAAUAAAAAAUUCAAUUCUUGUGAUGCGUAUUUAUAAAUACCCCACCGUAACAGUCUUCCCUCCUCACACUCUCUCAUAUAUCAUUUUCUCUUUCCUAGUCUUUUCUCUUCUUCGUUCUUCUUCACCCCUGUCCUAAAUUCACCAGAAGUUAAAAGGCUGCAAAUUGAGCACAAGAUCCAGUCCAACCCAGAACUUGUAACUAAACUCUUUGAGAUAUGGCUACUGAGUAUAAACCGAAGAACAUCCUGAUUACUGGAGCUGCUGGCUUCAUUGCAUCCCAUGUUUGCAACCGGCUUAUCCGGAA